rnacentral:rRNA from 1 species
UACGGAGGGUGCAAGCGUUGUCCGGAAUCAUUGGGCGUAAAGAGUUCGUAGGUGGUUUGUUAAGUCUGGUGUUAUAGCCCGAAGCUUAACUUCGGUUCGGCACUGGAUACUGGCAGACUGGAAUGCGGUAAAAGUAAAGGGGAUUCCUGGUGUAGCGGUGAAAUGCGUAGAUAUCAGGAGGAACAUCGGUGGCGUAAGCGCUUUACUGGGCCGUGAUUGACACUGAGGAACGAAAGCCGGGGUAGCAAAU